rnacentral:rRNA from 1 species
AACGAACGCUGGCGGCAUGCCUAACACAUGCAAGUCGAACGAGACCUUCGGGUCUAGUGGCGCACGGGUGCGUAACGCGUGGGAACCUGCCCUUAGGUUCGGAAUAACUCCCCGAAAGGGGUGCUAAUACCGGAUAAUGUCUUCGGACCAAAGAUUUAUCGCCUUUGGAUGGGCCCGCGUUGGAUUAGCUAGUUGAUAGGGUAAAAGCCUACCAAGGCGACGAUCCAUAGCUGGUCUGAGAGGAUGAUCAGCCACACUGGGACUGAGACACGGCCCAGACUCCUACGGGAGGCAGCAGUGGGGAAUAUUGGACAAUGGGCGAAAGCCUGAUCCAGCAAUGCCGCGUGAGUGAUGAAGGCCUUAGGGUUGUAAAGCUCUUUUACCCGGGGUGAUAAUGACAGUACCGGGAGAAUAAGCGCCGGCUAACUCCGUG